rnacentral:tRNA from 1 species
GCCAGUGUGGCACAGUGGUUUGAGUGUUGGGCUAUGACUCUGGAGACCAGGGUUCGAUUCCCGACACAGCCA